UUUCUCUCCCUUCAUCCCUAGGUAUUUAAAAUGUGUCUUUGCAUUUCCUGCAUAACUGGAUCCUAGCUCAUUAAAGAUCUCCUGUGCUUUCCAGUGCCCCAGCAAAAUGUGGCUGCUCCAAAGAGCAGAGAUCCUGCAGAGGAGGCAGUGUCAGGAGUGUCUGAGAGAGAGAGAAUGCCUUCAAAUCAGUGACUUCAAAUGGAAUCCAAGAGAGAGUUAGUUCUGUUUGAGGGAGAUGGUUGUAACCUGUUAAGAGCCAGGUAAACUGCUGGUAUAAAUUGUUGCUGUGAAGUAUCUAAAUGAGUUUUCACCAGUGUUGAUGCUAAUGGAUUGCUGUCAUUUAGGCAAGAUUUCAGAAAGCCUUCCUCUAUACCAUAUGCUUCAGCAGAUGUAAUCUAUAAC